rnacentral:rRNA from 1 species
GGGCUUGACAUCCCACGAACCUGCCUGAAAGGGCAGGGUGCCCGCAAGGGAGCGUGGAGACAGGUGGUGCAUGGCUGUCGUCAGCUCGCGUCGUGAGAUGUUGGGUUAAGUCCCGCAACGAGCGCAACCCUCACCCCUAGUUGCCACCGGGUAAAGCCGAGCACUCGAGGGGAACUGCCAGCGUCAAGCUGGAGGAAGGCG